rnacentral:lncRNA from 1 species
GAGAGACAGAGACAGACCGAGGAGAGAGACAGAACCAUGGGGGAGGGAGGGAGACAGAGGAUAAAAAUAUGAAUAAGAAUAUGAGAGACAGGAAGUUUGGAGGGGGUGGGUAGUGGAAAGGAUGGAUCUGGGAGGAGUCAGAGCAAGAAGUGGGAUGAAGAUGAUAAAAAUAUGUUGUAUACAUGUGCUUGCCUCAGUGGGCCACACAUCCAUUAAGAUGCUAUGCAGGAACUACAUGGGAUGACGACCUGGCACCUCCCAUUCUGUGGCCCGGGUCCCUUUCAUCAGCCGAACCCAGCACCUAUACAUGCAGAAAGGACAGUAAAUUACCUUCCUGAAGAGCUGCAAGAACACAGUGAGGUGUGCACACAAAGUGCAGCCCCUGACACACGGCAAUAACCAGUACUUCUAACACCAAGAAUACCUUUAAUGCCGCCACCCAGAAACUGAAAAAGCAGUCACCCAGCCGCUGGAUG